rnacentral:rRNA from 1 species
AGCGAACAUUGGCGGUAGGCUUAACACAUGCAAGUCGAGCGAGGCGUAAUAGUCGAGCGGCGAACGGGUGAGUAACACAUGGGAAUCUACCACGAAGGGGGGGAUAACGUCCAGAAAUGGACGCUAAUAACACAUACACCAUAUUGGGAAAGCGCGCUGCGCUUUGAGAUGAGCCCAUGGCUGAUUAGCUAGUUGGUGAGGUAACGGCUUACCAAGGCGACGAUCAGUAGCUGGUCUGAGAGGAUGAUCAGCCACACUGGAACUGAGACACAGUCCAGACUCCUACGGGAGGAAGCAGUGGGGAAUCUUGCGCAAUGGGGGCAACCCUGACGCAGCCAUACCGCGUGUGUGAUGAAGGUCUUCGGAUUGUAAAGCACUUUCAGUAGGGACGACGAUGACGGUACCUACAGAAGAAGUCACGGCUAACUUCGUGCCAGCCGCCGCCGUAA